AAUGUUACCAUCUGAGUUUUAUGCCUUUGGCUGAAACAUAUCCCUCCUGGGGCUCUUCCUCUCCAUUGCAGGCUCUCCAGGAGGAGCCCCACAUUGAAUCACUGCAACCUCUUGUGGACUAUUUUAUCAAAUGCUUUGGCAGGACCAGAGCAGCCUGGACUCUCAGGGAACCUGGCUUGGAGAGUGCGUGCUGGAAGAAGGGAGAAGGAUGAAGAAAUGGGAAGUGAAACUUUCCAGAGUUCACUCAGGAGGUUGAGGGGAGGCUGCUCUGAAAGGAGGCCGUCGCUACCCAGGAUGUGUGAGCUGUGAGCUGUGACAUCCAAGCAUUAGGAAGGAUCUGCUGUGGUGCCUUAUUCCAGAUGCUGCUGCUCGUCUCUUCCUGCGCUUGGCCUGGGAUGCCCUACAAUGCCCCAUACUGGCUAAGAAAUGUGAAAACAGCUGAAGAAGAAAUAAAGCAAAAGAGAAAAACAAGGAAAAAAGGGUAAACAAAGAGAGAAUUCACCUUUCACUCGCCUGCAAAGUCCUCGGUUGGAGAAUGAAGUUAAGACACAAAAGCUUAGCAACAACAACAUUGUGGGGGAAGGCACGAGAGGGAAGCCGAACAGCCAUUAAAGCAAUUAAGAAAAGAUUAAGGUCGCUGGUGGUGGAGAGAGAGAGAGACCCAUUAAUCAAUAGGCCAGAAAUCGCAGCAGGCUACAAAAUUAUAAAACUAGGCAAACUGGAGAACCACAGAGGCUCACCUCAACCAAGAUGCCUGAGUAACUCAAAAACAGAAACAUUAUAUUCAUUUCUCAAGCUUGGGGAAAAAAAAACAGGUCUUAGAAGAACUCUUUCCUUUUAAUCAGCUAAUGGAGACUUCCUGAGGUGGGGGUGAGAUCCAUGUUGAUUUCAAGGCAAAUUCUAAAGCAUCAAGGUCUAAAGAAAAAUUUGUAAUAAUGAGUGAUAAACAAUGUUAGUGGGCUGAGGGGAUAUCAUAGCAGAAAGCUGUGCGGUAAUCUUAGGCAGGGUCCUAAAAUGCCCUAGGGUAGGUUACAUUAUUGUUCACAAAUAUUUGCUGCCCCUGCCUGGGGAAGACAUACAUCCCAGCCCCACUGACAGCCCGCUUGGCUCUCUGACUUGCUUUGGCCAAUGCAGUACGUGUCCCUUCCAGGCGGAAGCUUUAAGAGCCAGGGGCACAUGGUUUGCCAUAUGCUUUUUGUCCCUUUGCAAUAAUAGCACAGCAAUAUUCUAGAUCCAACUUGUCCAACCUGCGGCUGGCUGGCCACCUGUGACCAGCUUUGAAUGCAGCCCAACACAAAUUCAUAAACUUUCUUAACACAUUAUG
rnacentral:lncRNA from 1 species